GUGCGAAGGUAGCGCAAUCACUUGUCUUUUAAAUGAAGACCCGUAUGAAUGGCAUAACGAGGGCUUAGCUGUCUCCUCUUCCAAGUCAAUGAAAUUGAUCUUUCCGUGCAGAAGCGGGAAUUUAAACAUAAGACGAGAAGACCCUAUGGAGCUUUAGACACUAAGACAGCUUACGUUAAGCACCUCAAAAUAAAGAAAAAAACUAAACAAGCUCUGCCCUAUUGUCUUUGGUUGGGGCGACCGCGGGGAAUUAAAUAACCCCCACGUGGAGCGGGAGAACUCCUCCUACAGCUAAGAGCUACAGCUCUAAUAAACAGAAAUUCUGACCAGCAAGAUCCGGCAAUGCCGAUCAACGGACCGAGUUACCCUAGGGAUAACAGCGCAAUCCUCUUUUAGAGCCCAUAUCGACAAGGGGGUUUACGACCUCGAUGUUGGAUCAGGACAUCCUAAUGGUGCAGCCGCUAUUAAGGGUUCGUUUGUUCAACGAUUAAA
rnacentral:rRNA from 1 species